UAAUGCCGGAUGCUCCAGUUGGAUGCAUGUCCUUCUGGGAAAGAUUCAUCGGUAUGGGAUGGGGUCGCGUCCUAUCAGCUUGAUGGCGGGGUAACGGCCCACCAUGGCUUCGACGGGUAGCCGGCCUGAGAGGGCGACCGGCCACAUUGGGACUGAGAUACGGCCCAGACUCCUACGGGAGGCAGCAGUGGGGAAUAUUGCACAAUGGGCGCAAGCCUGAUGCAGCGACGCCGCGUGCGGGAUGACGGCCUUCGGGUUGUAAACCGCUUUUGACUGGGAGCAAGCCCUUCGGGGUGAGUGUACCUUUCGAAUAAGCACCGGCUAACUACGUGCCAGCAGCCGCGGUAAUACGUAGGGUGCAAGCGUUAUCCGGAAUUAUUGGGCGUAAAGGGCUCGUAGGCGGUUCGUCGCGUCCGGUGUGAAAGUCCAUCGCUUAACGGUGGAUCCGCGCCGGGUACGGGCGGGCUUGAGUGCGGUAGGGGAGACUGGAAUUCCCGGUGUAACGGUGGAAUG
rnacentral:rRNA from 1 species